rnacentral:ncRNA from 3 species
AACGCACCUUGCGCCCCUUGGCUAUUCCGAGGGGCAUGCCUGUUUGAGUAUCAUGAACACCUCAACUCUUGUGGUUCGCCAUGAAGAGCUUGGACUUGGGGGCUUGCUGGCGCACAGCCGGCUCCUCUCAAAUGAAUUAGCCUGCCAGUGUUUGGUGGCGUCACGGGUGUGAUAACUAUUUACGCUUGUGGUUGCCUGCCAGGUAACCUUCGGUGACGGAGGUUCGCUGGAGCUUAUAAACGUCUUUCCUUGGUGAAGACAGCUUUUUGAACGUUCGAUCUCAAAUCAGGUAGGACUACCCGCUGAACUUAA